rnacentral:lncRNA from 1 species
GUUGGACAGAGUCAUUCUACAACAGCAUGCCAUUUUAACCUAUAAGGUGUUAUGCUUUUGUCUCCGGCAGGUGCUCCGAGUGACCAAAGCAGUGGUACCUCCUCUCCUCUUUGUGACAGUGGAUUACACCUCAACUACCAUCCAAACAACACAGUAAGAGAGUUGGACACAGUUGACACUAAUCAGGAUGGCUCAAGAGCAGAAUAUAUCUGUAUUUGUGAUUUGCAAGCACUGCUUUUGAGUCUGAUUUAUGUGGUAAACUGGGAUUCCUUGGUGACUUACUGCCAUUUAAGUGAUAAGACAAGCCAGAAGGAAAAACAAGCAGUAAUCUUAUGUGACAUUAUUUCUCUCAGGCAUGAAUCAUUAAAUCUUCUGUAAGUGUUGGAGUUUUUAGAAUAGGAGAGAUUACUCAGAAUCAUAGUGUUAUACCUCACUUCAGAGCAUUUCAUACCACAUAGAAUUUCAUGAAUUACAUGAUUUGACAUGAUUUUUAUCACUUUUAUUUUGAUCACAGGUCAGUAUGACUAUCAUUUUCAUUUUUUGUCAUC